GAUAUCCACUGUGGAAUUCGCCCUUCCGGUAAUUCCAGCUCCAAUAGCGUAUAUUAAUGUUGUUGCUGUUAAAAAGCUCGUAGUUGGAUUCAGAGGUGGGGUUGUGGGUCGGGUGUGGCCCGGCAGCUUGUCUCCGUGUGCCGCUCCCAAUCAACCCGCGUUUGCCCCAGCCUCCUAUCGCACGGAAACGGAGUCCUGCUGGGGUCUCCUUAACUGGGGGUUCCAGCGCUUCCGCGCACAACGUGCGCUUACGGACCGUCCGUGGACGUUACUGUGAACAAAACAGCGUGUUCAAAGCAAGUGGCUUGCCUGCCCUGCAUGUUAAAGCAUGGAAUAACAAGGCAUCGACCACUCGGCGGUGCUUUUGUUGGUCUUUCCCUCCCGGUGGGAAUGCGCAGGCGUGCACACUGCCGGCCUUCUGGCCGGUCUGGGUGCCGUCUCUUCGAGAUCAAUAGGGGCAAACGGGGAGAUACCUAUUGUGGGGAGAGCGGUGAAAUGCGAUGACCCCCAUAAGAGGAACUUCAGCGAAAGCAGUUCUCAAGACUGCCUUCGUUAAUCAAGAACGAGACUGUGGGGAUCAAAGAUGAUCAGAUACCGUCGUAGUCCACUAGCGUAAGCGAUGCCGACUCAUCAUUGGGGGGCAUCUCUAA
rnacentral:rRNA from 1 species